rnacentral:lncRNA from 1 species
ACAGAUUAAAUUUGUUUGAAUUUUAUUUUGAAAUCAGGAUUAUAGGUUCAUGGCUUUCAACAGACUCAAGAAUCUGCUAUUAAUUACCCCACACUUUCGGUAUUAAGGAAUCCUCGAUUAAGAGACCAAAUAUAAAUGUUGAUGAUAAAAGAGACAAAACAGGCAAAUAAAAUUUUAUUAAUAUGAUUUGCCGUGUACAUGGCUUAAGCAGCGGCAUACCCCCAUUGUACAUGAAUUUUAUAAGACUAGAAUACUCAGUUUAGUGAUUUGGUGGUCGAUUGAGAUCAGAUUGCUCAGUUUAAUGACAUAGCAGUCAUUUGAAAUAGGUUGAGGUUGAGUUUAAUUUUAAUUUGCUCAGUUUAAUGACGUGGCGAUCAAAAGGAGUUUGAUUUGAUUUGUUCAGUUUAACGAUUUGGCGGUCAAUAGAGUUUGAUUUGAUUUGCUCAGUUUAACGACUUGGCGGUCAAAAGAGUUUGAUUUGAUUUGCUCAGUUUAAUGAUUUGGCGGUCAAUAGAGUUUGAUUCGAUUGUUCAGUUUGACAACUUGAUGGUCAUUCGAUU